UACGUAGGGGGCAAGCGUUGUCCGGAAUCAUUGGGCGUAAAGCGCGUGUAGGCGGCUCGGUAAGUCCGCUCUGAAAGUCCAGGGCUCAACCCUGGGAUGCGGGUGGAUACUGCCGGGCUCGAGUCCGGAAGAGGCGAGUGGAAUUCCUGGUGUAGCGGUGAAAUGCGUAGAUAUCUGGAGGAAUACCGGUGGCGAAGGCGGCAUCCUGGACCGGCAUUGACGCUGAGGAGCGAAAGCCAGGGGAGCAAACGGG
rnacentral:rRNA from 1 species